rnacentral:rRNA from 1 species
GAUGAACGCUGGCGGCGUGCCUAAUACAUGCAAGUCGAGCGAAUGGAUUAAGAGCUUGCUCUUAUGAAGUUAGCGGCGGACGGGUGAGUAACACGUGGGUAACCUGCCCAUAAGACUGGGAUAACUCCGGGAAACCGGGGCUAAUACCGGAUAACAUUUUGAACCGCCGGGUUCGAAAUUGAAAGGCGGCUUCGGCUGUCACUUAUGGAUGGACCCGCGUCGCAUUAGCUAGUUGGUGAGUCAACGGCUAACCAAGGGAACGAUGCGUAGCCGACCGGAGAGGUUGAUCGGCCACACUGGGACUGAGACACGGCCCAGACUCCUACGGGAGGCAGCAGUAGGGAAUCUUCCGCAAUGGACGAAAGUCUGACGGAGCAACGCCGCGUGAGUGAUGAAGGCUUUCGGGUCGUAAAACUCUGUUGUUAGGGAAGAACAAGUGCUAGUUGAAUAAGCUGGCACCUUGACGGUACCUAACCAGAAAGCCACGGCUAACUACGUGCCAGCCGCCGCCGUAA